rnacentral:tRNA from 1 species
AGCUGAUUUGUAAUCAGCAGGUUGUAGGUUCGAUUCCUAUUGCCAGCU